rnacentral:tRNA from 1 species
UUCUUGUUAGCUUAUUAUAAAGUCUGAAACUCUUAAUUUCAUUAAGGAGAAAUUUAAUCUUCACAAGAAA